rnacentral:rRNA from 1 species
UGGGGAAUUUUGGACAAUGGGGGAAACCCUGAUCCAGCCAUCCCGCGUGUGCGAUGAAGGCCUUCGGGUUGUAAAGCACUUUUGGCAGGAAAGAAACGUCAUGGGUUAAUACCCCGUGAAACUGACGGUACCUGCAGAAUAAGCACCGGCUAACUACGUGCCAGCAGCCGCGGUAAUACGUAGGGUGCAAGCGUUAAUCGGAAUUACUGGGCGUAAAGCGUGCGCAGGCGGUUCGGAAAGAAAGAUGUGAAAUCACAGAGCUCAACUUUGGAACUGCAUUUUUAACGAACGGGCUAGAGUGUGUCAGAGGGAGGUGGAAUUCCGCGUGUAGCAGUGAAAUGCGUAGAUAUGCGGAGGAAAACCGAUGGCGAAGGGAGACUCCUGGGAUAACACUGACGCUCAUGCAAGAAAGCGUGGGGAGCAAACAGG